GUCCCUAGCCAGCGCGANACCUAUCUUUAGUUGCCAGCACGUAAUGGUGGGAACUCUAGGGAGACUGCCGGUGACAAACCGGAGGAAGGUGGGGAUGACGUCAAGUCAUCNCGGCCCUUAUGGGCUGGGCUACNCANGUGCUACAAUGGCCGGUACNGAGGGUNGCCCACCCGCCAGGGGGAGCUNNAUCCCNGGAAGCCGGUCGUAGUCCGGAUUGGAGUCUGCNACUCGACUCCUUGAAGUCGGAAUCCUCUUGUUAAUCGCGGCAUCNUAAUGCNGCGGACAAUUCGUUCCCGGGCCUUGUUCAC
rnacentral:rRNA from 1 species